GAUGAAGAACGUAGCGAAAUGCGAUAAGUAAUGUGAAUUGCAGAUUUCAGUGAAUCAUCGAAUCUUUGAACGCACAUUGCGCCCCAUGGUAUUCCGUGGGGCAUGCCUGUUCGAGCGUCAUUUACCCCCUCAAGCUCCGCUUGGUGUUGGGCGUCUGUCCCGCUUCGCGCGCGGACUCGCCCCAAAGGUAUUGGCAGCGGUCGUGCCAGCUUCUCGCGCAGCACAUUGCGCUUCUCGAGGCACCGGUGGGCCCGCGUCCAUCAAGCUCACCCCCCCAGUUUGACCUCGGAUCAGGUAGGGAUACCGGCUGAACUUAAGCAUAUCAAUAAGCGGAGGA
rnacentral:misc_RNA from 1 species